CUAGCGGCAGGCUUAACACAUGCAAGUCGAGGGGUAUAGGUUUUCGGACCUAGAGACCGGCGCACGGGUGCGUAACGCGUAUGCAAUCUACCUUUCACAGAGGGAUAGCCCAGAGAAAUUUGGAUUAAUACCUCAUAGUAUAUCGAGUUGGCAUCAACAUGAUAUUAAAGAUUUAUCGGUGAAAGAUGAGCAUGCGUCCCAUUAGCUAGUUGGUAUGGUAACGGCAUACCAAGGCUACGAUGGGUAGGGGUCCUGAGAGGGAGAUCCCCCACACUGGUACUGAGACACGGACCAGACUCCUACGGGAGGCAGCAGUGAGGAAUAUUGGACAAUGGGCGCAAGCCUGAUCCAGCCAUGCCGCGUGCAGGAUGACGGUCCUAUGGAUUGUAAACUGCUUUUAUACGAGAAGAAACACUCCUUCGUGAAGGAGCUUGACGGUAUCGUAAGAAUAAGGAUCGGCUAACUCCGUGCCAGCAGCCGCGGUAAUACGGAGGAUCCAAGCGUUAUCCGGAAUCAUUGGGUUUAAAGGGUCCGUAGGCGGUUUAGUAAGUCAGUGGUGAAAGCCCAUCGCUCAACGGUGGAACGGCCAUUGAUACUGCUAGACUUGAAUUAUUAGGAAGUAACUAGAAUAUGUAGUGUAGCGGUGAAAUGCUUAGAGAUUACAUGGAAUACCAAUUGCGAAGGCAGGUUACUACUAAUGGAUUGACGCUGAUGGACGAAAGCGUGGGUAGCGAACAGGAUUAGAUACCCUGGUAGUCCACGCCGUUUUACGAUGGAUACUAGCUGUUGGGAGCAAUCUCAGUGGCUAAGCGAAAGUGAUA
rnacentral:rRNA from 1 species